AGGUCGUGAUGUGGACACUUGUGCAAUAAAUCCUUAUAUCUCUCUCAUGCCUCAUAUAAUGAUUCACCCUCAAAUUAAGUGAAGAUAGUGAUAUCCUUCCUUAGCUU